UAGGAGGUCCCGCCUGCCCCGUGAUUUCUAAUUUAACGGCCGCGGUAUCCUAACCGUGCAAAGGUAGCGCAAUCACUUGUCCCUUAAAUAGGGACCUGUAUGAAUGGCUCAACGAGGGCUUAACUGUCUCCCUUCCCCAGUCAAUGAAACUGAUCUUCCCGUGCAGAAGCGGAAAUUAAACUAUAAGACGAGAAGACCCUGUGGAGCUUUAGACGAAAAAUAAACUUUGUUUAAGAAACUUAAUUAAAAGCUAAAACAAUAAGAAAUUAUAAUGUACUGUCUUCGGUUGGGGCGACCACGGGGUAACACCAAACCCCCAUGUGGAACGGGGUAUCAAACCCCUAAACUUAGAAUUACAAUUCAAGGUAGUAAAAUCUUUAACCUAAAAUGAUCCGGCCACGCCGAUCAACGGAAUUAGUUACCCCAGGGAUAACAGCGCCAUCCUCUCCUAGAGUCCUUAUCGACGAGGGGGUUUACGACCUCGAUGUUGGAUCAGGACAUCCUAAUGGUGCAACCGCUAUUAAGGGUUUGUUUGUUCAACA
rnacentral:rRNA from 1 species